UGGGGAAUAUUGCACAAUGGGGGAAACCCUGAUGCAGCGACGCCGCGUGAGCGAAGAAGUAUUUCGGUAUGUAAAGCUCUAUCAGCAGGGAAGAAACUGACGGUACCUGACUAAGAAGCACCGGCUAAAUACGUGCCAGCAGCCGCGGUAAUACGUAUGGUGCAAGCGUUAUCCGGAUUUACUGGGUGUAAAGGGAGCGUAGACGGAUAGGCAAGUCUGGAGUGAAAGCCCGGGGCUCAACCCCGGGACUGCUUUGGAAACUGUUUAUCUAGAGUGCUGGAGAGGCAAGUGGAAUUCCUAGUGUAGCGGUGAAAUGCGUAGAUAUUAGGAGGAACACCAGUGGCGAAGGCGGCUUGCUGGACAGUAACUGACGUUGAGGCUCGAAAGCGUGGGGAGCAAACAGG
rnacentral:rRNA from 2 species